rnacentral:rRNA from 1 species
AGAGUUUGAUCCUGGCUCAGAACGAACGCUGGCGGCGUGCCUAACACAUGCAAGUCGAGCGAGAAAGCCCGCAAGGGUGAGUACAGCGGCGCACGGGUGCGUAACACGUGGGUAAUCUGCCCUGGAGCCCGGAAUAACUCCCCGAAAGGGGUGCUAAUGCCGGAUAAGCCCACGGGGUCUUCGGACCCUGAGGGAAAAGG